rnacentral:rRNA from 1 species
CCUACGGGUGGCAGCAGUGAGGAAUAUUGGUCAAUGGACGCAAGUCUGAACCAGCCAUGCCGCGUGCAGGAUGACGGCUCUAUGAGUUGUAAACUUCUUUUGUACGGGGGUAAACCCCGAUACGUGUAUCGGUUUGAAAGUAUCUUACGAAUAAGGAUCGGCUAACUCCGUGCCAGCAGCCGCGGUAAUACGGAGGAUCCGAGCGUUAUCCGGAUUUAUUGGGUUUAAAGGGUGCGUAGGCGGGUUGAUAAGUUAGGGGUGAAAUGUUGGGGCUCAACCCCGAAACUGCCUAUAAGACUGUUAGACUAGAGUACAGUUGAGGUAGGCGGAAUGUGUGGUGUAGCGGUGAAAUGCUUAGAGAUCACACAGAACACCGAUUGCGAAGGCAGCUUACCAAACUAUAUCUGACGUUGAGGCACGAAAGCGUGGGUAGCAAACAGGAUUAGAUACCCGUGUAGUC